rnacentral:tRNA from 1 species
GUUCUUUUAGUCUAAUGGCGAGGAUAUUGUCUUUUAUAGGCAAAGGUGUGGGUUCGAGGCCCGUAAAGAAC